rnacentral:rRNA from 1 species
AGUGAACGCUGGCGGUAGGCCUAACACAUGCAAGUCGAACGGCAGCACAGUAGGAGCUUGCUCUUACGGGUGGCGAGUGGCGGACGGGUGAGGAAUACAUCGGAAUCUACUUUUUCGUGGGGGAUAACGUAGGGAAACUUACGCUAAUACCGCAUACGACCUACGGGUGAAAGCAGGGGAUCUUCGGACCUUGCGCGAUUGAAUGAGCCGAUGUCGGAUUAGCUAGUUGGCGGGGUAAAGGCCCACCAAGGCGACGAUCCGUAGCUGGUCUGAGAGGAUGAUCAGCCACACUGGAACUGAGACACGGUCCAGACUCCUACGGGAGGCAGCAGUGGGGAAUAUUGGACAAUGGGCGCAAGCCUGAUCCGGCCAUACCGCGUGGGUGAAGAAGGCCUUCGGGUUGUAAAGCCCUUUUGUUGGGAAAGAAAAGCAGCAGGUUAAUACCCCGCUGUUCUGACGGUACCCAAAGAAUAAGCACCGGCUAACUUCGUG